rnacentral:miRNA from 1 species
UGUGUGUGUGUUGUGUGCGCGCGCGCACGUGCGUACAUGUGCACACACGCAUGCAUGCACACAUACACACACCC